UACGUAGGGUGCAAGCGUUGUCCGGAAUUAUUGGGCGUAAAGAGCUCGUAGGCGGUCAGUCGCGUCUGCUGUGAAAACUCGGGGCUUAACUCCGGGCCUGCAGUGGGUACGGGCUGACUAGAGUGCGGUAGGGGAGACUGGAAUUCCUGGUGUAGCGGUGAAAUGCGCAGAUAUCAGGAGGAACACCGGUGGCGAAGGCGGGUCUCUGGGCCUUACCUGACGCUGAGGAGCGAAAGCGUGGGGAGCAACAGG
rnacentral:rRNA from 1 species